GUGGAUUAGAUACCCUGGUAGUCCACGCCCUAAACGAUGUCAACUAGGUGUUGGGGGAGGAGACUUCCUUAGUACCGCAGCUAACGCGUGAAGUUGACCGCCUGGGGAGUACGGUCGCAAGAUUAAAACUCAAAGGAAUUGACGGGGACCCGCACAAGCGGUGGAUGAUGUGGAUUAAUUCGAUGCAACGCGAAAAACCUUACCUACCCUUGACAUGCCAGGAAUCCUGGAGAGAUUUGGGAGUGCCCGAAAGGGAACCUGGACACAGGUGCUGCACGGCUGUCGCCAGCU
rnacentral:rRNA from 1 species